rnacentral:rRNA from 1 species
AGUGAAAGACGGUCUUGCUGUCACUUAUAGAUGGAUCCGCGCUGCAUUAGCUAGUUGGUAAGGUAACGGCUUACCAAGGCAACGAUGCAUAGCCGACCUGAGAGGGUGAUCGGCCACACUGGAACUGAGACACGGUCCAGACUCCUACGGGAGGCAGCAGUAGGGAAUCUUCCGCAAUGGGCGAAAGCCUGACGGAGCAACGCCGCGUGAGUGAUGAAGGUCUUCGGAUCGUAAAACUCUGUUAUUAGGGAAGAACAUAUGUGUAAG